AAACUAUCGCCUGCUCCCUUUGAGGCUGGCUGCAGGUAUCGAGAAGCACAGCUGCUUGGACACUUUUCAGCUGGACGUCUUCUAAGGGAGGAGGGAGCACAGCUUGGAGGUCUACGGAGGCAGUGAAGUCUCGGGCAGGGACAUUGGCUCAUGAAUUUUUAAUUCUUGAGCUUGGCAGCACUGGAUGAAUUAGAAACAGAACAACUGAUUUUAAUGAGUGUAAGAUUAAUGCAGAUGAGCUUGGCUGAAACUGUGAUCCAGCUGAGGAGAGAGGAUUUUCUCACUUCACCUACCAGCUCCCUCCUUGGUGGGCUGUUACGUUGCAGGCAUUACUGUAGCAGAGCAUAUUCUCAUCAGUAGUCGUUACCUGGGGGAGAGAUGCUCAUUAAACAGCCCACUUCAUACAGGAAAUUUUGCACGUUAACCCUUGGUGGCUGUCCUGGACCCUCGACAGCCCUGCAAGGUGAACUGCGGCUCUCGAGCGUGCAAGUGGGGAAGAAGGCGAGUGUGGAUGGAUGUGAACUGAUGGAGGAGAAACCUCCCCUGGCUCUGGGCCGGUGUCUGCUGGAUGGGAAGGAGAAGACUUCUGGCUGUUGCAUGGAGCCACCACAGCUCCAAGCAAGGUAGUGCUUUCACAGAUCGCAUCGCUGCAGGUUUUGCCUGCUUGGGCUGGCAAGCGAAUGUAGCAGGAGCAUUCAGGAGUGGAGUGUGAUGAACCAUAAAUAAAGAGGAGACUCCCAGGAAAGCAUCAGGAGACCACGGAGGAGAAGGCUGGCCCGGCAGCUGGUGAGAUCGCCCGGUGACUUGCGUCCAGCUUUACAGGGACCUCCUGCCUGACCAUGGCUUCAGUGAUGUGCUCUGAACGCCUGGGUCAGGAGCCUGGUCCCCAGUGGUCCCCACUGAAAUCACUGGAAAAAGCCCCAGUGCUGCGAUGGUGCCAGCAUCCCUGUGGGUUGCCAGGUCAGGAUGUUCACGGUAUCUUGCUGACGGCAGGAUCAGAGCAGCUUUUGCAGCUUUCCCAGACUCAGGGAGCUCCCCAAUGUCACUACUCCCUCUCAGCAUCCCUGCUCAGAGCUCACAAGAAUUGCUCUGCCGUUUGAGGUGCUCCACCUGGAGCCAUGCUGGAGAAGAGCAAUUCAUCCAUGCUUUCUCCUGAGGUUCCUUAAACGACACACACGCAUUUUAAAAUGGUUUUAUUAGACUCUCUGAGUCGAUUUGUAGAGACCCAACCUCAGAAUCAGUCCAUGUACUCUCCAAAGCCCCGUUAACAUCCGCAGCGUGGGGCCAAGGCUCAGUUUUCCCCCGGAGGGAGGCAUCCUUGCGGCACCCAGCCCUGAGCUGGUGUGGGGUUAGCUCAUAACCCCGCGUCAGCGCACAAACCUCAGCGGUCUCGCUCCGGCAGCCAUCAGCCUGUGCUGGGAGCUGUCAAGGACCACGUCUGUUAUCCCUCCCGAGCGCAGAGUCGAUGGAGAGGAGGUUGGAACGCAACUCAACGUCCCACACAGUGACGGCGGAACCGUCAGAUCCUGUCCCCGCCUGCCAGGAAAGGAGAACUUGCUGUGAAAUAUUCUGCCUUGCACUGCUUCGCCUUUGACUAACGAAGAGCGGCCGGAGAAGGGAAGAGACGCCGUGCCGUCAUGUAAUGGAGAAUCACGUCGUCUUUGGCCGGAUGAUGGGUUCCUUCUGAUUUUGAGAGGGAGAAGCCCUGUGCCCACGUGGGCCACGUCAGCCACUGCCCGUGGGUUUCUGCGUGGGGAGAAUGCCACUCGCUGUCGGGCUGGGGAGGCAAGGCAUGCUCUGGCUGCACGCUGAGCCGCGGUUAGCAUGGUACCCACCCUGCCGCAACCAGGAGGUAAACGCUAAUUUGUGACGCGUACGGUCCCUGUUAGACCCUGCACUGAGCAGUCAGUAACACAGAGGUCACGUGUGGGUUGUGCUGGGUUUUACUGAGUGUGAAAGUGGGGAAUAGUCCAAAUAUACCCAUAAAAGAUCGGUGCUUCAUUACUGCGGUGAGUUAGGAGCGUUUCCAAGGGGAGGCAUGUGUUGGGCUGGUAACGAGCUGUCCUUUGGCAGAGGCAGAGCAUUGAAUGGGUGUGAAAACUGGAGGCUGAAGGCAGCAGAUGUGAGAGGUGAAGAGAAGGGUGUUUGCAGCUGGGGGUACCGGGAUGCCCGAGGCAGUGCACGCUGCAAGGGACCUGUGGCAGAAGGAUGCUGCCAGGCUCCACGCUGGGUGGUGGGACCCAGCCGGCCCAGGAUGGACGGCAAACUGGAGGCUAUGGAUGGCUACAGGGACAGGAGAGGGUGGCAAACCCCUCCUCAAAGGAGGCAAACCUCAUUGAAGAGGUUAAAGCGAAUGUUGAAGGAUCCUAGGAGCAGUUGCCAGAUCCCAAAUGAUGAUGCUGUGCUGAGGCCAAACACAACACGGCAGGAGCCAAACCAUGACAUGAAAGCAGGGACCUGCAAAGGUGGAAAGUUGAAAGGCGCUUAGGACUUGUUCUCCAGACCAGACUAAGAGGAGGCAGGGAGGCUGUCGCAUGAGCGGGAGGGGAAAAUCCCCCUUCUCCAACGUUUGUCCUGGAUGCAGACGUGGGAACUUCAGCAGGAGCACCUACAGAUAGGUCUCCAAGAAAGCAUCCCAGACUCGCAGCACCUGAGGAGCUGAGAAAGAGACAGAGAAGCUGUGAUUUGUUUGUGCUGCUUGUAGCUGGAGGUGGCUGCAGGGAUCAACCCUGUAGCUGUGGGAAAGUUCAAGGCUGAGCUUUGUGGCUUCAUCAGAUCCGGACUGUGAUCAUUCACUCUAAUACCUAUGUAAUGAGAAGAGAACAGCAAGCAGCUAUCACGAUAGCUUCAUGAAGCUAGCCAGACACCUAGCACUGGCAGUCUAAAUCCGGCCCUGUCUUCCCCCUGCAGUAGACAACCCAAGCUGCUCAUUACUGUUGUCCUACCCAAGGGCACGAGCCGAGGGAAGCAGAAAGCCCCAACCAGCCAAGCUUCUGCCUGGAACUGUUUGCUUUGGAUCAUUACUUAUUUAUUUCUUCUUACACCCAUCUUCCAGCAGAAUUAAGGGCAGUAAAGGGAAGAGCCCUGUAACACUGCUUGCACAGUCUUAAAAUGCUUUACGCUCAUUGCAGUUCUCAUCUUUACAGCACCUUUGGGAAGAGAGACAACAUUCAAAUGCCCGUUUUACAGCACCAUGCACUCAGCACUGCUGAAGAAGAAAUCCUUAGCAGUGUUGGCUCUGGAGACAAACUAUGAAUAUAUGUGGGUUGCAUGUAUCCAAUCUCAUUGCAGUGAGCUCAAGAAGGUGCAAUUACUCUUAUUUUUAUGCUCGUAUGUGAUUUAGACUGAUUAAUUGCUAAGAAUUCCUCCCUCCUCCUAAUUGUCUGCAAAAGAAGUGAUUUCAAAGCACAAUAAUUGUGGCCACUGCCAAAGGGAAUAGGAGAUAAAAGCAACUCCUAUUACCUCCAAAUGGCCCCACAUGUGGUCCUUGUCCAUAGCAGACACAGUUUGCACUGGAAUAAUGCAUCAACUAUAUAUUUAAUCUUUCACCCAAGGAUCUAGAAUUGCUUUCCAAUGAACCGUUAGCUGAAGGAUCCCCACGCAGCCCUGAUUAGACAGGCAAGAAGACAUGGAAGUUGUGAAACAGCCCAGCUUUGUAGCACUGGGAGGGGAGAGAGCUGUACUGUGAUUGUGCUCCAUGGGGAAACUACAGCUGAAGGACCUGAGAAGGGACAAGUAGGUCAAGCCCACUGUUUUGAAGAUGUUUUGGACAUGUUAUAGUGAUGCUACAGCCUCCUGCUCUGAGCUUGGUGCUGUCAGUAGCCAGACGAGGCAGUUUAAAGGCUACUGGGUGGCUUUCUAUGUGGCUCUGCAGAGAAAUGGUCUCCAAAAGGAGGGUUGCAAUGCCAUGUAGGGACCCAGCAGCUGUGCAGGGACUCCCAGCCCAAUAGAAAAUUACCAACAAGACUUUUCUGCUAAGAUCUGGGGUGGCCAAGGAAAUGGGGCUGCGAGUGGAAGUGUUUGGGGGCCACCACUUCCAAGUCUGCAGGGACCACGAACGCCUUAUCCCCCACCUGAGCGUGGACGACCUCCAGCUCUGCAGGAGCACCGGCGUCAUGACGGGGAACAUCCAUCGCAGAGUCCAGCGGUACCAUCUGGGGCUUUUAGGGACCUGAUUCCCAAAUACCAGCUUCCCUUCUGGGUUCACAGCCCCUGCCGCUGAGCCAAGAGACCCAGAGAUAACCAGUGCUGUGGGGCAGUACUCAGCGUGAGCCCUGGCAGAAGCUAGAUGUGAUAUCUUGGGCUUCACCCAUGUCUGUUCCCAAAAUGCAUGGACAGGGGGAGCAGUGCUUGGCCAGGCUGUCACGUAGCAGCUCCAGGGGUGCACGGCACGAUCCCGCUCCCGUGACUGGGAGAUUCAGGGGUCUGCAAUCAUCAAAGCACUUCACAGCCCAAAAAAUACAGGCAAAGCCUCCUCAGCCAUGCUGUCCACCGGUGUCCUCAGCAUCUCCCCAGCCUGGCCGGAGCCCUUGCUGCGCUGCUGACCUGGCCAGGUGGAGAAUUCAAGGGAAGUAAUUUUUUUUUGGCUUUUUCACAUUCUCAGCUUGCGACUCAGUUAUCAACCGUUGUUACCUUCAGAUCUCUGGGAUCAAGAGAGGACCACUGCAUUAGUUCUGUGUCACCAAGGAGAGCUUAAAUAUUGUGAUUAAAAAAUUCCAGUCUCGCAUAGUCUACUCAGACAUGCAGGAAGAAACCUUUGCAAUUAGACUCCCUGUGUGCUGGCAGGAGGGCAGAAGUUCCUCCUUUUUUUUCUUUUCCAUGUCUAUAUUCUUCUGUGAUUUUAGAGCAGCAGGGGAAAAAAAAAGCCUGUUUGAUUUUCUUCAUUAUGCUAAGCCUGGUUUUACUUUCUGAUUGCCAAAGCAUGAUAAAUGGAACAGAGAUUAUUUGGAGAUUUUCAAAGAUCUGCUUUCAAAUUUUAUUUUUCCUGAGCCUCAUUAAGCUUGCAGGUUUUAUCUACACUUUGUUCUUAGGGUAGAGUAGCAUUACCGUAUAUUAAUAGCCAUAUUUUUUCAUUUGAAAUUAAAACCAGAUAGAGGCUUCUCAUGCUUUGCUUUCAAAUCCUAUUUUAAAAAGUAUUGAUCAUGUGUGUGUUGUUUUUCUUUUCCUCUGACCCUGCUGGCUCUGUAAAGGGCACUCACUAACAAAAUGCUUUCAGUCCUGGAUCUCUGCUUACUACUGGGUGCAGUUUUGUAUAUUUAGGGACAUAUUUUAGAAGGUAAAAUGUAUAGAUAAAUGAAAAAUGUAGUUUCCAAUAGAGAGACAGGCAAGAAAAAUCAGAUUUAAAAGCAGGACCUCUACAAUUAGGGGGUACAGAGCAGCUUAGGCGUGAUAAGAUAGCCCGUGAUGUGCCUAGGCGCAUCUUUCGGGAGCUAAACGCUAUUGAAAGAUCUCGUCCUCCAUGACUUUAGGAGAAAUGGCCAAAAAUCAUCUCAUGGCUGAGAGUCCCCAGGCACAGCCUGUGUGCUCCUCUCUAGGAGAGGUUUGGAGGAGGGUGGCAGGGACCGGGCGCGAGGACAACACGGGACGCACACACAAAAGCCACCCUAACGUACCUGGUGGUGUUUCUUCUGCCGGACCCACCUUCUGGGUCUUCCAGGUGUACAUCUUCCUCCUUCUGUGCCCACCACAGAGGUCUUGGGGCAGCUUGAAGAUGUGAUGAAAAGGUCUCCUUGUGCCACCUACCCGGUGUGGGAAACAGCUUCCUCGUGGGCGUCAGUGCAGGAGCUGGCUGUGUCCUCCGAGUUCCUGGGGAAGGUGCUGGAGAUAAAAGACCCAAGGCAAGUUUCUCUGUUGAUGGCCUGCCUUGUUAUCCUAGGAAUGGGAAAGACGGGUGCACAGAGUGGGGUGAGGACAGACCAUCCUUAAGGUGCCACUACACCAACCCCAGCCCCGGUGCAAAGGUGAAGCCCUUCAUUCUGAGACCAGCCCAGACCUGUCUCCAAGACUCGAGGUGCUCCUCGUAACGUUCUCCUCCAGACGUGACCCCAGGAGCUUUGCUUGAACUGGAAAGCAGCUCAUUUGGAAAGGUUUUCUGUAGUUCCUCCAGACCCACUCGACAAGCUCUAAUAAUAACUAACUGCCUUUCUAUUUAUAAAUGAGAACAGCAGCGAGGAACUCGGCUCAUGCGGCUGAGGCCACCGCAGCCUUGGUUCUCCCACCCUCUGCCAUCGAGAUUUUGUCUCUGCUGUCCUGCCAGAGCCCCAGCAGCCCUGCCAUCGUGCAUGGGAAAGGGCAUUUCCCAGGGCUCUUUCCUUUGGGUACACACACACACAUUUAUUUUUUCUUUUUGCUCGUUGACAAGGGAAUAAUUUCUGUUUAAAAACGGGGAUUGUUUUUUGUAGCAGCUCCUACCCCACUUUGUAAAACAAACAUUUCCCAAGCGCUUGAUGUUUCAGAUGAUGUUGUUACUCGAACGUCAGCGCCAAUAUCAGAACAUGUAUUUCUUAGUGGAGCCUGGGGAUUUUGUGCUGCCCGUCUCCCAGCGGCCAGAUGUGACGCAGAGGACCGACGGAUCCUUUCGGCCGAGCCAGCUGGAUGUGGCCCGCGUUAGGGCUGAGUCGGAAAAGCGUUUGGGUUUAGAUUGACAUGCUGUAGCCCAAGGCUAGCUCUCGCCCAGCCUGCAUGCAGGAGGGGAGCAUCACCUCCACUUCGGCUGGGUCAGCUCGAGCCGAGGCUCGACUCAGGCUGAAGCUGCCUUUGCUGGCUCCAGUCUCACAGGGACCAGACAUCUCCAGCCAGCUCUGGUUCUACCCACAGCGUUCCCUCUGCUCCCAUUCCCGACAGUGCCAAGCCCUGUACCUGCACUUCUGGGAGAGACUGGAGAGAGUUUUCCCUGUAAUACAUCCUCUCGCUAUCUCCACUACAUGCAGGAUGCCAGAUUCGAUGAAAAUACUCUGAUCUGUUCUGACAAAUCCUCUGUUCCUAAGUAGAUAAUAACCAGAAAAUCUUCCUAAAUAAAUCCUGGUUUCGGA